rnacentral:rRNA from 1 species
UACGUAGGGUGCGAGCGUUGUCCGGAAUUAUUGGGCGUAAAGAGCUUGUAGGCGGUUUGUCGCGUCUGCUGUGAAAACCCGCGGCUUAACUGCGGGCUUGCAGUUGAUACGGGCAGGCUAGAGUUCGGUAGGGGAGACUGGAAUUCCUGGUGUAGCGGUGAAAUGCGUAGAUAUCGAGAGGAACACCUGCGGCGAAGGCGGGUUGCUGGGCUGACACUGACGCUGAGGCGCGAAAGCUAGGGAGCGAACGGG